GUGGGUUUAUCUGGCACGCGGACGCCCAAUGAGAGCCAGAUAUUCGAAAAUGCAGAUUCCCAAGCCGCUCGGCAGCACCAUCAGCUAGGUCAGCGGCUGCUCCAUCUGGCCCCGCGUCGCGCAGGCUUCAGUAAGACGUGCCUGGCUUCAGGCAGAGGGGUGACUGUGAGUGUCUGUGAGCGUGUCUCUGUGUGUCUUUGAUGACUGUGUCUGCCAGUGUGUGUCUGUGUGAGACCAUGUGUAUGAGUGUGUGUGUGUGUGUGGCUGUGUGUAUAAGCAAAUGUCUCUGUGUGCCUGUGUGUGUCUGUAUGUGUCUGUGUAUCUGUAUGACUGUGUCAGUGUCUGUGUGAGAUCACGUGUAUGAGUGUGUAUUUCUGUGUGUGACUGUGUGUGAGCAAAUGCCUCUGUGUGCCUGUGUAUGUAUGUGUCUGACUGUAUCACCGUGUGUCUGUGUGUCUUUGAGUGUGUGUGCCAGUGUGUGUCUGUGUGCCUGUGUGUGUCUGUGUUGUGUGUCUCUGUGUGUCUGAAUGACCGUGUGUGUUUCUGAGUGUCUGUGUGUCUUUGAGUGUGUGUGUCUGUGUGCCUGUGUGUGUCUGUGUAAGUGUCUCUGUGUGCUCUGUGUGUGUGUCUGAAUGACCGUGUGUGUGUCUGUGUGUCUGUGUGUCUUUGAGUGUGUGUGUCUGUGUGCCUGCGAGUGUGUGUGUCUGUGUGCCUGCGAGUGUGUGUGUCUGUGUGCCUGCGAGUGUGUGUGCGUGUCCCUCCAUUUGCGUGUCUGGGCACCUGGGUCUGCAAUUGAGACCCCUGUCCUCACCCUGCAAUCUCCCUGCUGCCAAACCUCAAAGCUCCAGCACAUUCCUGGAGGAAGAGACCGUGUGGUGCCCCGCCCUCCCUUUGAAGCCCACCUGAUGGGGACACAGGGUCGCCCCCAUGAUCCCCGGGGGCCUCACCCCUGACCGCACGCCCUGUCCCGUCUCAGGAGGGUCUCACUGCUGCCCUUUCCCGGCUGUACUGAUGGCCCAAGGGCAUUAGGGAACGUCAGGACCCCUUCCCUCCGGGGUGCGGCGUCCCGGCCGCCUCGGCCCUCAGCACACCCGCCGCUAUGGGGUGGUGCUAAGCCAUCCCCCGGGUUGCUUAUGGGGUGGGAGGAGGAACUAAUCUGAAACCUUAAGUAUGGCUUUGAAACAAACUUGGCUCUCCGGAUGACAACUCCCUUGUUCCAGAUGGUUCCUGUGUGCGCCGCGUUCGUUAGCAUGCUAAUUUAUUCUGACUCAUUCCGGAGCUGGUGCGGGCUGGCGCACACCUCCAUGCCAGUGCGAGUGCCCGAGGCCCGAGAUUCCCAGCUGGAGCGGCCCCCUUCCCCUGGGGCUGUCACACACGCCGAGGGAAAUAAAGGGAAGGGAACGGUUGGGGAGGUGGCUUCAGUGGCAGCCCGGGCAGGCUAUAAUUUCAGCCCUAGCAGCGCUGACACUCACAGCAAGCUCCCGCUCGGUGACACAACCCUCUCGGAGCAGUGACACCCACUGAGGACACAGGGGCUGGGAGGUUGGGUGGAUUGCCCGAUGCAGCUGAAGUACCAGUCAGGUCCCCGCAAGGAACCCAGAGCAAGCACGGAGGACGAAGUGGCUCCCUCAAAGGCAGUGUCUGGGGCUGGUAGGAGGCUCCCUGGCACCUGCCUUGCCCUGGGGUGAACUCUGUGGCCGAGACAGCAGGGACCCAGGGCCACCCACACUCCACAGCAGGAGGGAUGGGAGCCGCCCGUCAGUGCCCUGCCACCUCCAUGUGCCCGC
rnacentral:lncRNA from 1 species